rnacentral:rRNA from 1 species
UGGGGAAUAUUGCACAAUGGGCGCAAGCCUGAUGCAGCGACGCCGCGUGAGGGAUGGAGGCCUUCGGGUUGUAAACCUCUUUCGCCAGUGAAGCAGGCCAUCUUCUUUGUGGGGUGGUUGACGGUAGCUGGAUAAGAAGCGCCGGCUAACUACGUGCCAGCAGCCGCGGUAAUACGUAGGGCGCGAGCGUUGUCCGGAAUUAUUGGGCGUAAAGAGCUCGUAGGCGGCUGGUCGCGUCUGUCGUGAAAUCCCCUGGCUUAACUGGGGGCUUGCGGUGGGUACGGGCCGGCUUGAGUGCGGUAGGGGAGACUGGAAUUCCUGGUGUAGCGGUGGAAUGCGCAGAUAUCAGGAGGAACACCGGUGGCGAAGGCGGGUUUCUGGGCCGUUACUGACGCUGAGGAGCGAAAGCGUGGGGAGCGAACAGG